rnacentral:rRNA from 1 species
GCCCACCAAGGCNAUUACAGGUACGGGCUNUGAGAGGAGAAGCCCGGAGAUGGGUACUGAGACAAGGACCCAGGCCCUAUGGGGCGCAGCAGGCGAGAAAACUUUGCAAUGUGCGAAAGCACGACAAGGUUAAUCCGAGUGANUCUGCUAAAGGAAUCUUUUACCAGUUCUAAAAAUACUGGCGAAUAAGGGGUGGGCAAGUUCUGGUGUCAGCCGCCGCGGUAAAACCAGCACCUCAAGUGGUCAGGAGGAUUAUUGGGCCUAAAGCAUCCGUAGCCGGCUCUGUAAGUUUUCGGUUAAAUCUAUAUGCUCAACGUAUAGGCUGCCGAAAAUACUGCACAGCUAGGGAAUGGGAGAGGUAGACGGUACUCGGUAGGAAGGGGUAAAAUCCUUUGAUCUAUCGAUGACCACCUGUGGCGAAGGCGGUCUACCAGAACAUGUUCGACGGUGAGGGAUGAAAGCUGGGGGAGCAAACCGGAUUAGAUACCCGGGUAGUCCCAGCUGUAAACGAUGCAGACUCGAUAAUGCAUUGGCACAUAGCCAGUGCAGUGUCGCAGGGAAGCCGUUAAGUCUGCCGCCUGGGAAGUACGUACGCAAGUAUGAAACUUAAAGGAAUUGGCGGGGGAGCACCACAAGGGGUGAAGCCUGCGGUUCAAUUGGAGUCAACGCCAGAAAUCUUACCCGGAGAGACAGCAGAAUGAAGGUCAGGCUGAAGACCUUACCAGACAAGCUGAGAGGUGGUGCAUGGCCGUCGUCAGCUCGUGCCGUGAGAUGUCCUGUUAAGUCAGGUAACGAGCGAGAUCCCUGCCAUUAGUUGCCAUCACUACUCUCAGGAGUAGUGGGGCGAAUUAAUGGGACCGCCGUAGUUAAUACGGAGGAAGGAAGGGGCCACGGCAGGUCAGUAUGCCCCGAAACUCUGGGGCCACACGCGGGCUGCAAUGGUAGUGACAAUGGGUUCCUAACUCGAAAGAGAGCGGCAAUCCCAAAACGCUACCACAGUUAUGACUGAGGGCUGUAACUCGCCCUCACGAAUAUGGAAUCCCUAGUAACUGCGUGUCAUUAUCGCGCGGUGAAUACGUCCCUGCUCCUUGCACACACCGCCCGUCGUUUCAUCGAAGUUUGCUUUUAGCGAGGUGAUGUCU